UUACCUGGUUAUAACCAGGUUAUAACCUGGUUAUAACCUGAGACAUUACCUGGUUAUAACCAGGUUAUAACCUUGUUAUAACCUGAGAC